AAUCAACGCUGGCGGCGUGCCUAACACAUGCAAGUCGAGCGCGAAAGGGGAGCAAUCCCCAAGUAGAGCGGCGAACGGGUGAGUAACGCGUGGGUAAUCUGCCUCCGAGUGGGGAACAACACCGGGAAACUGGUGCUAAUACCGCAUGACAUCGUUGGACCUUCGGAUCUGACGAUCAAAGCCGGGGACCGCAAGGCCUGGCGCUUGGAGAGGAGCCCGCGUCCGAUUAGCAGUUGGUGGGGUAAUGGCCCACCAAGGCUACGAUCGGUAGCCGGCCUGAGAGGGCGGACGGCCACACUGGGACUGAGACACGGCCCAGACUCCUACGGGAGGCAGCAGUGGGGUAAUUUUUCGCAAUGGGCGAAAGCCUGACGAAGCAACGCCGCGUGGAGGA
rnacentral:rRNA from 1 species